CCACAGGGAUCAGUCCUGUGAAUUCAGGCAAAUAUUGAUCAAAGCUAUGCACUGUUUUAUCAGAUCGUUCUAUAAACUACUGUAAUGUUGUGUUUGUUACAGUGAGUUAUUUGAGAGAGAUUUUAGUGUAAUACGAACUUAUGUGCAUAUGGUUAACAAACGUUGAAUUUCUUGUCUCAAUAAUUUGUUAUGCCCCAAAAGGGCUGCAUUAUAACAAUUGCAAUGUCUUGGCCGUAUUAUCAUCUGAAAUUCCUUUCUUGGGCAUUACUUUGCCAUAUAUAAAUGGAUUUUUGAAUCACUGGGCACAUAUCUAUACCUUGAUUAGAGAAUGUUUUGCAUGCUACAAUAGACCCUUUCAGUAAUUGUCGGUUUUUAAUUAUCUCCCUUGUGUGACGUCAUGCGAUGAUAAUCGAGUGUAUCGAUUGUAAACGAGAACAGAAAUCUAAUUAGAAAAUGUUUAUUUCAACGAUGUAAAUGGACUGAACAUAUGCGAGAAAAGAUUUGUACUUAACUAAUUGUUAAUAAUAUAUUAUUUUUAUGCCCCCCUUCGAAGAAGAGGGGGUAUAUUGCUUUGCUCAUGUCGGUCUGUCGGUCAUUCUGUCGGUCCGUCCACCAGGUGGUUGUCAGACGAUAACUCAAGAACGCUUGGGCCUAGGAUCAUGAAACUUCAUAGGUACAUUGAUCAUGACUCGCAGAUGACCCCUAUUGAUUUUGAGGUCACUGGGUCAAAGGUCAAGGUCACGGUGACCUGAAAUAGUAAAAUGGUUUUUGAAUGAUAACUCAAGAACGCAUAGGCCUAGGAUCAUGAAACUUCAUGGGUAAAUUGAUCAUGACUCGCAGAUGACCCCUAUUGAUUUUGAGGUCACUAGGUCAAAGGUCAAGGUCACGGUGACCUGAAAUAGUAAAAUGGUUUUUGAAUCAUAACUCAAUAACGCAUACGCCUAGGAUCAUGAAACUUCAUGGGUAGAUUGAUCAUGCCUCGCAGAUGACCCCUAUUGAUUUUGAGGUCACUAGGUCAAGGUCACGGUGACCCGAAAUAGUAAAAUGGUUUUCGGAUGAUAACUCAAGAACGCAUACACCUAGGAUCAUGAAACUUCAUAGGUAGAUUGAUCAUGACUUGCAGAUGACCCCUAUUGAUUUUGAGGUCACAAGGUCAAAGGUCAAGGUCACGGUGACCCGAAAUAGUAAAAUGAUUUUCGGAUGAUUACUCAAGAACGCUUUUGCCUAGGAUCAUGACACUUCAUAGGUACAUUAAUCGUGACCCGCAGAUGACCCCUAUUGAUUUUCAGGUCACUAGGUCAAAGGUCAAGGUCACAGUGACAAAUAUCGUAUUCACACAAUGGCUGCCACUACAACGGACAGCCCAUAUGGGGGGCAUGCAUGUUUUACAAACAGCACUUGUCUUAAUGAAUUUAAAUGAAAUUUUGAUAAUUGGUUUGUACUGCUGAUACAGCAGCGGUAUUUUUCAUUAGAGAACAUGAUCGGAAGACUAAAUACUGAAAAUCCCACAAAACAAACCAACUAACUAAGCUGUAUUCUUUCUUAUAGUAAGACUUUUACAAAUGAUGUUUAAAAAAUAAUGAAACAUAUAUUUAUUUGAUCACAAUUAUAAGUGGUGUGGCUAUUGUUGUUGUUCAUCAGCGAUCGAACGUGUAAGAGAUGCAUUUAAUCAAAUAAAACAAAGCCCUAAAACAACGGAAUACAUAACAAUUGUUAAAUUUUAUCAUUUUCUUUUCCAUUGAAUGGAUUUUUGUUUUGUUUACAUUGAUUGACAAUAUUAAUAAAUGUUAGCAUACAUACGGAAAAGAACUCUGCAUAUUAUGCAAAUUGAACUGUCUUUGCAUGUAUAUUGAAAUCUCUUUACUAAUGAUAAGGUGAAAUACAAAUCUAGCAUUUUAUGAUCAAUAAAUCUUUAUAUUUAAUUUAUUUAACGCAACUAUUGUUUACCCUGUUGCAAUUGCUUGUUUUCAUGAUGGUGUUUUGUAUACUGAAAUAACCUACUUAAAUCUAUACACGUAAUAGCGGAGUUUACAUUUGCCGGUACCCGUUAAAUACCUCAAUUGCGUAGCAGUUAAAUUGCACAAUAUUUUUAAUUUAUUUAUAGUUUUUAAACACUGUAUUAUUAUGAUUAAACUGGCUUAUAUAUAUAUAUAUAUUAGGGAUGGCAAAAUUAUUCGAAUAUUCGAUUGAAUGGUCAGCAUUCGAAUAAUAAAAAUGAUAUUCGCAUAUUCGCAUUUUUUUUCCAAACGUAAUUUCACCAAUAUUUAAUGACCUGCGAACCGCUUACUAAAAUGCAACCGAAAUCACCUGGGAGUAACAUGUUUGACGUGACGUUCUUCGUGUCAAACUGAUAACGCGGCCUGUAUCAGUGUUGAUUGCGCAAUGCAAUAUACACGCUCUAAGAAAGGCCCCGACUGUUGUUUGCCAAUGGGGUGCCAAUUAACGGUUUCAAUUGACUGGCGAAUAAUAAUUAAUUUUUGUGAUCACAGUAUGUACAGCCAUUAAAAUGUGUGAAUUACUCAAAUCGCGCAAUGCAAUAUACUUACUAUGAGAAAGGGCCCGAACUGUUGUCUGUCAAUUAGGUACCAAUUAAGGGCUUCAAUUUACUGGGGAAUAGUAAUUUAGUUUUUGUGAUCACAGUUUGAACAGACAUUUAAAUAUGUGAAUUACUCAAAAGUAACAGAUGAUAUAAAGUAAACAAUCAUCAAGGAAUCAUAAUUCAAAUCUGAAAAUGCCACCAGCCCUUUCUGCAGUAUGGAAUACUUUACACGGUCUGUGGAUAAGAAGACCGCAACGUGUAAUGUGUGUAAGUUUUACAUAUGUGCGGUCUGCUACAAAUCUGGAAUCAUUAAAAAAUAUAAUUCUAUGACACGAUGUUUUUCAUUCUAUUUGUGCCCGAUCACAGUAUCGGUCAUAGUAUUAGUCGACAGCGAUACAAUUAUUCGAUAGCAACGUUAAUAAACAGCCUCGUAUUUAGCAAACGGAUAUAACUUACAAACCAAUGGAAAUUAACACAUAACAAGGAAAAAUCAAUCCAGCCGUUUUAUGCGAAUAUUCGAAUAUUCGAUUGAAUGAAUUUGCGAACAUUCGAAUACCGAUAUUGGUAUUCGAUGCCAUCCCUAAUA